CCUACGGGUGGCAGCAGUGAGGAAUAUUGGUCAAUGGCCGAGAGGCUGAACCAGCCAAGUCGCGUGAGGGAAGACGGCCCUACGGGUUGUAAACCUCUUUUGUCGGGGAGCAAAGCGAACCACGUGUGGUUCAUUGAGAGUACCCGAAGAAAAAGCAUCGGCUAACUCCGUGCCAGCAGCCGCGGUAAUACGGAGGAUGCGAUCGUUAUCCGGAUUUAUUGGGUUUAAAGGGUGCGUAGGCGGGCCUUCAGGUCGGCGGUAAAAGUGCGGGGCUCAACCCCGCCGAGACGUCGGAACCGGGGGACUUGAGUAACGGAGAAGUACGCGGAAUGCGGGGUGUAGCGGUGAAAUGCAUAGAUAUCACGCAGAACCCCGAUUGCGAAGGCAGCGUACCGGCCGGUAACUGACGCUGAGGCACGAAAGCGCGGGUAUCGAACAGGAUUAGAUACCCGAGUAGUC
rnacentral:rRNA from 1 species